UUUAAAGCCAACGCCCUGCUUUUCAACAGACAAUGAUGGGCAUCUCGGAUUAAAAAACAGAAAGAAAAAAAUCUUCUGCAACAAUUAAAUGCUAUCAAAGAUAUCUGAAUCCUGCUAAGGCGACUUUCAAAGGCAAACAGCAUCUAUUUUGUCAAGCAUCUAUGCUGAAAGUUUAUGGAGUAAAGCAGUAAAAAGAAUAAAACACAACGAAGAAGAUGCAGCUUUCUUCCUGAAAGGCGAAAGAAGGCAAAGGGGAAUUGUUCUAAACCAUAUUUGAGGUCCGCUAUAAUCGGGGCAGAACAACAAAGCACAGAGCCUGCACAUCCUACAUUUACUAUACAUCCAAAACUUUGCUAGCUCAGAGAAGAAGACAAGGCUCUGAAAUCAAGCCCAGAUUUUUCACUAUUACAUAAAGCAAACAAUUCACAGAUGACACAUUCUCUCAUGCCUUGAUGCCUUUCUCUGGAUCCAAAAGAUUAAUUUCCUCAACUGGACUAAGCUUGUAUUCCUUCACAGUUGUGCUUUCCCAUGCUGCUGGCAACAGCAGAUUGACUAGAAUGAGGAGUGGCUGCUGCAGGGGAAGCAUUACAGAUAAAAACAAAAACACAAAUGGAAUGGAUUUGAAGGAUUCUAGAACACUUUUCUCUGCUGCUAGGAGAAGCUGAAGAGCAGAAAAAAAAUAUGAAAGAACAGAAACGCUGAAACUUGGUGACUGCAUGCAUGAGAAAUGGUGGAAAUGAGAACAUGUGAAAGAUCUGGAAACAAAGCAAAGUUGUAUGGGAGACCUUCCCUGCAACCUCAAAAGAAACAUAAGAAAACUCCUUUCCAUAUUCCUGCAAAAAAGAAAAAGGCUGAAAUUAGUGAUCCAACUAUUGCACAGAAAGUACAUGCACUGCUUAAGAUUGUGGAUUUCCAAUGAGACAGUGAGUCGUUUAUUGCAGCGGUUCAGCACAGAAACCACCAGGAGAGGCUUAAGAGGAAGAAACAGAAUCUCACUCACUAACGGAGGUAACUUUGCCAUUCUGCAAAAACAGAGGUUGUGCUCUGUUAGCGAAGGUGAUUUGACACACCCAACAGGCUCCUCGGGGAUGUUAAUUCCAGACAUGCAUUUGUCACUGCUGUUCAGUCUGGCAACGUACUACUUUGUAGCUCAGUGCUUUCUCCGCCAAGUCUUCUUUCAGCGAAUGCCUUCAGUCGGUUUGCUUGUUGCAAUGACAAUGGUUACAAGAGGGGGCCUGAAGCCCUACCUUCCAGUUCUGUUCCCUACAGGAAAUAAGCAAUCUGAGAGAAGGAUUAAGGUCCACCAAAAAACCUAAGACUUCAAAUUCUGAACAUCCUAACAAACAUCAUUUUCCAGCACUUGGGCUGUGGUCUCAUUCUCUUGAAUUCAAGUGAAAAAACUGUUGCUGUUGUGACUAUCUAAAGACUUUUUCCAUCUUACAUUUUGUUCCUUGCCUUUGCUGUUUUCAAUUGCCAUGCCAAAGUUUCUCCUGUUUAUUCUAAUUGUUUUAGUGUGUCUGACUCUCAUUGGUUUAUAUGUUUAGUCUUGUCCUGAUUUAGUAUGAAUUAAAACACCACUGCCACGAUCAGUCUGCAAAUAUGAGUCAGAACAGAAACUAUUUAAAUAAUACUAUGGAUGGUACCCGUCUGGCUUGAUAUCUAGAUCAUAUAGAAUAAUGCUGUUUUUGUUUUCUGCUACUGUUGUCUGGAAUUGCCGAUGAAGUGUUGAUUGUGAUUGUGACCACAAAUAUGUUUUGUUCCUGGUCCUGUUAAGCCAGAAGAGUGUGGUUUACUGCAUGUAUGUACGUGAGGUUGUUUUGAUUAUACUGAAUUCACUUUAAAAAACCCACAUUUUGCCACUGCAGUGCUACAGGACAAUGAGAAAAGAAUUUCCAAUGAGAACAGUAUUUUAAAAGCAAACCACUGGGCUCCUUCCCUUUAAAAGAAUCUUAAGGGACACUACUCUUUCUUCUGAAUUUAAUUAUUUCUCAAAAUUACAUGUGAAUGCUGUCUUCAACAGAAGGUCGCCUUUCCUUCCCUUCUCAUUCAUUAUGUAAGACUUAGCAAAUUUCAGAUUGCAUAUUUCACACAGAGGUUAUGCUUCUUUAAAUUGCUUGUUUACUGUGUUGAGUAAAACUAUUACACGGCAACUUCUUUCAUUUGGUGAAUCUGGUCACCAUAUGUUCAGUGGUAGCUUCAGGCUUAUCAUUUGGAUUUUCAGUACCUUGCCUCUGAAGACCUGGGAAUGCUUACCACUAAAUGUUUGCCACCCUCAGUUUCUAGUUUUCCAGAAAGAGAGUGAAGACUGUAUUCUGGUGGGCCAAUAUUGCACCCCGUCAGUGCCUCUGCAGAGCCUCAAUCAGUAUGCCUAUGUUCUAGGAAAGACGGGUUUCAGUUCUAAGCAGUGAAUAAGACUAUCAAACACAAUGUGCCCAAAGACGUGUCUGACCUCAUAGUGCAUGACUCUCAUAGUUUAUUCAGUCUCUUCAAACGGGUGAUAGACAGGCAUGUAACACAUGAGCACUGCUCUCCAUGUCUUUUCCAAACUAAAACAGCAGCAUAAAUGACAGACAAACUCAAGAAAACCUGAAGUUCUUUUGUUCCUGCUGAAAUGAACCCUAGCCUUAAACCUACGCUCCCCCUACACUGCAGACAUAAAGACAGUCAAGAGAGACUCCUAGCAUGAAUUCCAACCCGGUAGUUUUUUAAUAAAGUUUGCUUAUCAUUCCCUGUUUCAUAGCUUUGCUCCUCACUUAGAGGCAUCCCAGACCACAGCCCAACGUUUUCAGGUAAUCUGACCAGGAUUUUUAAUGCUGGCUGCAUUCAGACUCUGUCUACGUGGGUACUAAAUGGAGAUUUCAGCCUGAUUAAACACUUGCCAGCUAAAUUUAAACCCAUUCUUUUUCCUGGUUUACGAAGUGCCUGAAAUCCUAUGCUAAUAACAAAGAGUGAAGCUAUCCAUUCUUUUUCAGUUGAAUCAAAUCAGCUUAUCACUAAUAAAAAGCCCUUCACUGCUCCUUAAAGCAGAGGCUAAUAAUGGUGAGUCAGAUACAUUCUUGUGAUAGCAUUUGUUCAGUUAAGAAACCCUCUCAGCUGACUGAAAAGCGAAAUAGCUUUUUUACAACCACUUAAUCUCACUGUAACGGCAUCUAUGGCUGCAACCCACGGUUUAAUCUCUAGUUACAGUAUGCCCAGUUAAUAAGGUUUCAAACAAAUGACUGUAUUUCCAUCACACCAAACUUGAAGCCAAGAAGCAUAGGAGUUUUCUGAGUGUUUUUUUUUUUUCCUUUGCUUUGUUUUUGUUUAACUGUCAAGAAAACACCCAAACCCAUGGCUGGCAGUAGUGCUUAAGCUGGCAAAGUUUUGAUGAUUUUUUUUUUCCACAUUUUAGAGUGACAGGAAAAGAACUUCCUGAGAAUAAAGGGCCGUGUUUUGUGUUUCAGUAUAAUGUCACAAACUCAGACCCACAUAAUGUCAAGCUCAGUUCUACAAUAUCUUACUCUGACCUCCAAGAUAACUAUUCUUCUUUUACCAAGUGUAUUCUGCAAACCACAUAAAGCAUUAUUUUUUUCUGAUAUGGGUUCUAUGAUUAUUUAAGAGUUUUUGCAAGGCAGGUCUAUGCCUACAUUGCACUUAGUCCUCAGCAUAAUCUUCUAAUCAUGCAUUCUACGCUUUCUUGCCCCACAGGCGUCAACGUAGCUGCCUCUUGAUUGAGGAACUGUGUUUUUAACUGCAGAAUUCCCAGUCCCUGGAGGUGUUCAAGGAACAUUUAGAUA
rnacentral:lncRNA from 1 species